ensembl:lncRNA
GGAUCUGUUUGAUGCUGCCUCCUUGAUUAGAAAUAAAUCCCUGAUGUUUAUCAUUGUUCCCAUGAGAAAAUCCUGUCCACUUUGCAACGAUUUACUUAUGGUGGUGUUUUGGGGAAUGCACUGAAGCAAACCGUGAAAUUAAAUGAACGAUUCACUAAAUCAAAUAAAGGAAAAGGAAUACAAAGCCAGCAGGGCACAGUGGAAUGAAAACCAGCAUCGACCUGAAAACCAGGACGCCUGGGUCCGGCUCCUGGCUCUGCGUCGAGUUGCCAUCUGUGAAAAGACAGGCCUGGUGCACACGGGGGAUGUGGCCGCACCAGUGAGGACAGACUGGAAGCAAAAGGGCCUGAGCCGAACUAGUGCACAGAUAAGCUGUGCUCUCUGGAAACCACAGCAGACAGCCAUAAAACAGAGAAAACAGGACAACCAUCAUAGUUACACAACAGAUGGAUGCGGCAACACAGAACCUUCGCUUAAGACUCAGCUGCGGAAUUGAGUUGCUUUUUUUAAUGGAAAAGGAAAAGAAUCACCCAGAAGGAUAACCUUGAAUUUAGAAAGAGCAGGUGGGUUGUGUGAUCAGCUAGGCCUCUUCUGUACGAGGUAGAGCACAUUUCAGAAUUGUGUGUGUAUCAGUGGUCACUGCGAUUUAAGUAAAAAGAACAAGAAUUCAGAAAAUUAUAUCCUAUCCAAAAAAGGCUACUCUAAUGUUCCUGAUGACUUCACUAUCAGCUCGGGUUAUAUAUUUUUCUAAGAACAUUAUCUUCGGAGAGAGUUUUCAUCAGUGAGUCAACUUUUGUUUGCUUGCAUUGGUUUCACCUUCUAUUGUUUUUUUCCCUACGACUCUCAGCUUUUACCACUUAUUGAACCCUGAUGGAAGAAGGACGUCUGCUCAUUGACAUGCUGACAACCUGAUAAGUCACCCCACACCCAUACCACACACACAUGUGCACACCCACUCAUUCGACUCAGACACAGUGGCUAGCGUUGAUUUUUCACUAAAGUCGACUAUAUAAUAAUCACUUCAUUUUCCAGAAGUUUAUGGGUCUAUUCUUUUUUUAAAUUAAAAAAAAUCAGCUUUUAUUUUAGAUACAGAAUGCACAUGAGCAGAUUUAUUACAUGGGGAUAUUGUGUGAAGAUGCGGUUUGGAGUUCAGAUCCCAUCAAAUACCAAGAAGAUCUCUCAAAACUACACAAAUAUAUGGAAAUUAAAUAACUUACUUUUGAAUAUGUCUUGGGUGGUGAGCAUCAAAAUUAUGGCAGAAUUUUUUUUAAAAAUUGAAAUUAAUAAAACAGGGACACAACUUGCCAAAAUCUUUGGGAUGCAGCCAAAGCAGUGUUAAGAGGAAAGUUUAUAGCCCUAAAAAUGCCUUCAUCAAGAAGUUAGAAAGUUCUCAAAGUAACAUAUGUCUCUUUUUAUUGUUAUGAGUGAAAAGUUGAUCACCAUGUAUUUUUGGCAUUCUGGUAUUGAUGAAGAAGCUUCUAUGUGCCCAACGUUGCUCCAACCAGCUUUGAAUCUCCUGGUGAGGACAUGCUCCAAGGACAGCUCCUUCAUGCUGGUCAUGGCUAUGGGUGUGUCUGGUGUGUGUGUGUGUGUGUGUGUGUGUGUUUCCUCACAUGGAGGCAGAGUAGUACUUGCUGGGCAGGAACCCUGGGAUCUGUGGCUCCUGUUUCAGGCCUCCAGGCAAUAAAAACCAGCAUCUUAGAAUAUUCCAGUUGCCAAUAGAGAAAAUUGCUCAUGUAACUUAUGAAUGUGAGGGGCAAUCUUUGAUUUCAAGCUGAUGCCUUUCUAAUAUCUCAAUCCUUUAAUGGCACUUCAAAACAUCAAAGGACUCUCAAAAACCUGCCUCAUAACCAGCCAUUCCAGCCACAGAGUGAAGUGUGUAUCAUUAUUCUUACUGAGUUUGCAUUAAGGAAUUAGAAGCUCUGGGAGAUGGGCCAACACAUCCAUGGUCACACAGUCUUCAGGAUUCACCAGGCCAAGGCUCAGGAGCUUCUGUGCUUUCUUCUUUACUUGCAGGAGUAUUUUUUAAAAACUUAUUCCUUUAAGAUCUUUUGUUGUACUUCCAAUGUAUUCCCAACCAAUGCAUUUUAAGACAACAGGGCUAGUGUGCACUUGGAUUUCAGGAAGCAGUCAUGUCAGUGAAACUAGGUAAGUCAUUGUAAGUUGUUAUUUAGCAAUCACAGAAUUGUUAGAGUGCAUCUGUCGCUGAUGACAUGCUCAGGGCUGUUCCUUUACAAGCUCCCUGCUUGGAUGUAGAACAUCAGACCAGAUUUAUGCACAUCUUCCUCUUGGUUCAUGACUAUGAAACUUGAAGAGCAGCUGUCUUGGAAUAGAGUAUUUUCUUCAGAUUCCUCUUGCCCUUCAGUUUAACCUACACCAUCUGAAAGGAGUCCCAUAGUACUGAGGAUGAGAGCAGAGUAUGGUGGCUUCACGUUCUUUGAAACCUGUUGCAUCAUCAGCUGCACUGGCAGGUCCCAAAGCUGGCAGAGGCCAGAGCCAAAGGCCUCAUCUACAGAUCAACAAAGAAGUGAAGAGAAAAGAGGGGAAUCCAUACCCCUGUGUCCCUCUACUCCCCAGCACAGCUCUACUUACCUGGCUAAUGAAGCUAUUAAGAAAGGUACACAUCUGAGGUUUAUUUUCAACAUUUUGCUAUUUCUUUGAGAGGCCUAAAAAGUUAGUUGCUCCCCAAACUCUUGUAUAAAUCAGGGCUAGUUUCCCCUGGCCAAUGUGCCACUUCUUCCUUUAUCCUGAUGGGCCUGUGAGUGAUGAUUCUAUUAUUUGCUCUUUUCUCUUUAGCGUAAAUCUUAUCUCCCCAAUUUCCUUGAGUGUAAGAACCAUGAUGUAUGCUUGAUGAUUUACUAAGUCCUCUGCAAACACUCACUGUGGAACUGAUUGGUCAUAGCCAUGGAUGUAACCCUUAUCACUGUGGAUCUGGGCCAUCUGGUCAAGACUUUGUCUAUUCAGAUGAGAUUAGGGAAGCCUACCUCAGCUAGAGUUUUUCCAGGAAUUCUGAUGUUCCUGGAGGAGGGGGUCAUGUGUGAAUCAGUUGUGAGUCCGUCUGAUCUCUUCAUUCUUGGAAACCUUCUAGUCCCUUAGGUCAGAAUGUAGAAUAGUGAAGCAGCUAAAAGCACAUGUUUAGAGUCAGACUUUCAUGGGUGCCACAGCCGAGGUCACUAACCUUUGACAAAUUUCAUAGCGCAAAGACAAUUCUGUUUUCUCAUCUCUAAUAUGGGCAUGAUCCUGGUAAGUACUUCAUAGGCUUGUGAGGGCUGAGUGGUUUAAUCUGUAUCUAGGGUUAGAACAGUGUUCAAUGUGAAGCAAGUGCUUAAUGGAGGCUUGAUAUAUUCAUGGUUAUCAUACUGCCUCUCCAUCUUCUCUUUCUUUAGUUUCAUUUUCUUUUCUUUCUUUCUCUUUUUUUUUUUUUUUUUUUGAGGGAGUCUCGCUCUGCCACAAUCUCAGCUCACUGCAACCUCUAUUUCUCUGGUUCAAGGAUUCUCCUGCCUCAGCCUGGUGAGUAGCUGGAAUUACAGGCAGCCUCCACCACACCUGACUAGUUUUGGUAUUUUCAGUAGAGACAAGGUUUCACCAUGUUGGCCAGGCUGGUCUCAGACUCUUGACCUCAAGUGAUUCACCCAUCUCAGCCUCCCAAAGUGCUGGGAUUACAGCUGUGAGCCACUGAGCCCAGCCUGGCAUCUGGAAUGUACAAAACUCUUAAGAAUAUUUACAUAGUCAUACCCAAAAUAUCUCUUCUCAAUUUCUCUUCCCUCAUCUUUAGCAUCUUCUUUCCAUGAGCUGAGCUGAGGGCCAGAGACUGUGCAAUACAAACCCUCUCUUGGGUUCCUCCUUCAGACAAGGGAGGCUUACUCCCCUCUUGAUCCUUUCCUUUGUUUUAACUUUAUUUCAGAUCUUACCUUUCCAAAGGAGGUGCCCAUGCUUUUAAAGUUUCCUUGGGGUUCCCUGUACUGUUUUUGUCUUACUUUUAUCUUCAUCUAACUCUGCCCACAGAAAUUCCAAAGAUACUACAAGGCAGGGGUUGCAACCUGUAAAUUAAAUUCAGUUCAAGGGUGUGCGAGUUAAAGAACAAAUCAAGUUAGUUGCC